CGUGUAGGCGGCUUGGUAAGUCAGAUGUGAAAGCCCAGGGCUCAACCCUGGAAGUGCAUUUGAUACUGCCAUGCUUGAGUAUGGGAGAGGAGAGCGGAAUUCCCAGUGUAGAGGUGAAAUUCGUAGAUAUUGGGAGGAACACCCGUGGCGAAGGCGGCUCUCUGGACCAAUACUGACGCUGAGACGCGAAAGCGUGGGGAGCAAACAGGAUUAGAUACCCCUGGUAGUCC
rnacentral:rRNA from 1 species